rnacentral:rRNA from 1 species
GACGAACGCUGGCGGCGUGCCUAAUACAUGCAAGUUGAGCGCUGAAGGUUGGUACUUGUACCGACUGGAUGAGCAGCGAACGGGUGAGUAACGCGUGGGUAAUCUGCCUUUGAGCGGGGGACAACAUUUGGAAACGAAUGCUAAUACCGCAUAAAAACUUUAAACACAAGUUUUAAGUUUGAAAGAUGCAAUUGCAUCACUCAAAGAUGAUCCCGCGUUGUAUUAGCUAGUUGGUGAGGUAAAGGCUCACCAAGGCGAUGAUACAUAGCCGACCUGAGAGGGUGAUCGGCCACAUUGGGACUGAGACACGGCCCAAACUCCUACGGGAGGCAGCAGUAGGGAAUCUUCGGCAAUGGACGAAAGUCUGACCGAGCAACGCCGCGUGAGUGAAGAAGGUUUUCGGAUCGUAAAACUCUGUUGGUAGAGAAGAACGUUGGUGAGAGUGGAAAGCUCAUCAAGUGACGGUAACUACCCAGAAAGGGACGGCUAACUACGUG